CUAAGGUUAUUUUGUUAAACAGAUGCUGGUUUGGUUUAGACCAAUUCUCCUGAGGUCUGGCCAGUAGGAACGUCCAUGGGUUCAAUGUCACUGGCCUAUCAAAUAUUUGGGUCAUGAAGGUUUGAAUGGCCGUCCAGUAAAUUUUAAUCUUAGGGCAGUGCCACCACAUAUGGGUAUACGUCCCUCUCUCCCCGCAAUUGCGCCAACAGAGG